UAAAUACCAGUUCAGAAGUGUGGAGCAAGUCAUGGUGCCCUCUAGAGCUCAAGGCUUUGUAGAUGACGUCCGACUCUUUGAAGGCAUCAGCCUCGAUGAUAACUGCAUUCCCAGAUGCUCCAGCCCAGAACGGUCUAUGCUAAGACGAGAUUGGCUUACUCUUUGAGAAUGUCCUUGAGCACAGUACUCUUCCCGGCCCCCAUCCCACCACCCAUGAGGAGGAGGACCGGACUUCUGUCGCUAAGAGCCAUUGGUACCAUGACAUUCGUGCACUGUGAAUCGUCGUUUGUCACAAGUCCAAUAGCUUUCAUCUCCUCCACUAAUGUGUUAUUCUAGGAAAUACUUGUUGGAUUGAAACGAAGCAUGAGAUCGACAUGCCUGGCUGAGCAUAAACGACGUAUGUUUCCAGUGGAACGCAAAGUAGCUGAGGAUGCAUCUUUCGAAUUCUUCCACCAGUUUGAUGAAGAGAGAAUCAACAUCAGGAUCGUUUGCAAAAAACGCGUACAUGUCCUCUUCGCAUCCCUCAGCUUUUUUAAUGUAUUCGGAUGCCAACUUACACAAAUGUGGGCAUUCUCUCCUGUCUUUGAAUCCCAUCUGCCUGGCUGCUCCCCACACACACAACAACACACACUAUGUUUUAAAAUCAUCUAAGGAAUAUCUUGAUCAUUCAUAUGUACAUUUUCGAAUAUUGAUGAUUUUGAUCUUAGCUAACGCGAUCGAAGAUCCAAGGGAGGAGAGGAAGGGGCAGAGAUAGAUUUCUUAUUACCUACAUAGUGAGAGAACUUCUCAAUGCUCAGAACCUGGUCGGCAGCGGAGAUUCUCUUCCGAGGUAUGAUCUUCCUGUCGCGUACUUUCCUGAUGCGGUAAUGCAGCGCGGCUGCUAUGAUCAGCCCCACGGAGGAGGCCACGAGGAUCUGCGUGUAUGUUGCUUUAGCGCUGCCGUUCAUCUCAUCUGCCGUAGAAUCAAACAUAAUAAUCUGUGAUGGGUAACUAGUUUUUUUGUUGAUCAGUUUUUACGUAUGUUUUGCCACUAUGCAUCUCUUGCCUAUGGAAGGACAAGAAUGUGUUUUUCCUCUGUUUCUUUCUCUUUCUCUCUGUGUGUCUCUGUGUGUGUGAUUCUGUUUUUUUUUGUUCCUAUGAAUUUGGAGAUGGAUGUUCAUGAAUGUCUGAAUGUUUCAACUCCUUGUAUGUGGUCAAUUUGCAUCAUGAAUUAUCAAACAUUCUGUUUUAUGUUGUA